UUCCUUUCCCCCAAAACCAGUGAGAUUUAAAAUACACAUAAUAUACAUAAAAAAAGGGAGGGAUGGGCAUAUCACAACAAGUCUCCUGCAAUGCGGUUAACAACAAGCAGUCGCACAGUGGAACUUUCAAGCCAGCAUUGACAAGACACUUUGCAAUUCAUGUCCGUUUCUUCCAGAUUCAGAGGUAGCUGCUCUGCGCUGUGGCUUCACAAAGGCUGCCACAUUCAGGAUUUUCAAUUGCACUUGUCAGAUAAGGCACACCUCAAGUGACAUCUAAAAACAAUUCCAUUUCUCUACCCGCCACAAAUGAGUCAGUUAAAAGCGGUAAGACAAAAAAAGAUAGCUGCACAAACAUGAGACUGCACCAAACAUUCUUGUCGGCAUGAUGUUUGUCAGCAAAAGGCUUUCAAAGCUGCACUGCAUGCCUUGUGACAAGAAUGGGCAGUCU